UUCACUCGUAUGGGUUCCUGAAGUUCUUGAGGAGUUCUGGAAUGUCGUAUCCAAGCAUAUCAUCCACCGCCUGCACCAUCUUGGGCUUGAUUUUCUCAAACUUGUCAAUGCUAUACCCACCCAGGACAUCUCUGAAAUGCUCCACAUAAGGGAAAUCUCCAGCUGGAAGAUGUUAGCUAAGAUACCUUUGCGAACUCAUUCUCCAAAUUGUCUAUAAGUCGCUGCUGAGCUUUGGCUUUGCCCAUCAUCGCAGGCAUCUCCUUCUUCAAAUGACCAAUUAUAUGGGCAUGAAUCUUGGCUGCUCUUGCACAAGGUACUGUAACAACUUACUCGACGGUCACAAGCUUUCUUCGGUAUAUCUUUCAGAUCAGAAAGUAGAUCAUCUUGCUCUCUCUCAAAUAGUUCCUUUCCAAUUGGACCAACAGCUGAUUCAUUUACUGGUUUGGGCAUGAGAAAUUACCCAAUAUAAACACGUGCAACCUCAGGGGUAUUCAAUACUUUCCCAAGAGACCACAUCAAUGCACCAUAGACUCUCAUAAGCUGCUGAGUGUCAACUUGGUCUGCCUUGUUUAGCACUACACGUAUUUUGUCAUCAUGUCCGCGUAAAGAUCCAAUGACACGUUUGAACUCAUCACUGAUAUCAAGCUUAUGUGGAUCAAACAGAAGAAGAAUAAGAUCACACUUGGCCGCAAACCAUGAUGUGACACCAGUGAAAUCAUAGCUACGUUGCGUCCGUUGCUUCUCGCCUGAGAGAACACCAGGUGUGUCGACAAAGGUGAUAUGCUCUAGUAGCGGAUGUGGCAUCUGAGAGCAUUCGAACUUGGAUAAAAAAGCAGUUCCAAAUGUUGUAAGACCACUGAAAGGCAUGUCUGCUUGCACAGCUAUGGUAUUCCCAGGAAUAGUCCUUUCAUCUGAGUUUACCAUGACAACAACAAAUCUGUCAGUUGUUGGCUCUGGUCCAAUAUGGGCACCUGCAAGUGCAUAUCAACUCAGAUGUUUUAUAAAAGUUGUUUUCCCUGUAGAAUAUUGACCUAAAAGCAUAACCAUUGGCUUUGCAUCAAAAUCACUAUUUUAAUGGAGAUACAAAAUCAUUGAAUUUGUAUGUAACUUCCAAAGGCUUUAAUUUUUCGAUGUAUAGUUUUUUUAACCCAUCAAUGACAGAAGUAACAGCAUUCAGGGGUAUCUGCACAUAUAGAACACCACAAACAAAGUCAGCAUAAGUGAUAUGUGUCUCAUUAAAGAAAGGAACUUCUUUAUCAUCUGUCAGAAAUCAGUGUAAACUAUAAUUAGUACUAGUAAAUACAAACUCAUCAAAGAAGCUUAGUACUUGGUGGCUAGUAAUAACAACCAUCGCGCUUAAGGCUGUCUUGAGUGAUCUCAUCCCCCGCUUGCGCCAGAGAGACAAGCUAUCAAUUGCGACAAACCCAUCACUAAUUAAUAAAGCCAUACACUUCUGAUGGCAGCACGGAACUUGGCACCUGCUUGAGGUCGGCGCGGGGGAGCUUGGACAUGGCGAAGAACUUGAUGGCGUCGGGCCCCGUGAUGCGCCCGUCGCCAUCUGCGUCGGCGAAGGCGAACCACUCCUGGUAGGUCUUCUGGUGCUCCUUGGAGUAGCCGCUCGCCGGAUGCUGCCCGAUCUCCAUGGCUCCCCUCCCUCCUCGUCCCCGGGCCGCGCCGCGGCUCCGCUUUGCAGCCGGGAGAAGCA
rnacentral:sRNA from 1 species